GGGUUUUUGCCAGAAGCUUCCAGGAUGGGUCCCCACUAGAACAGCCCAGCUGCUUCAACGCCACGGCCAAGAUGCCUAAGGAAGCCAGCACCAGCUCCAUCUGUCUCUGCUUCCUGUGAGAGAAAAGAACAUUUGGAUCCCCUGGAGCUGGAGUUACAGGAAGUGUGAACAUCUUGUGCUAUCUGUGGCCACCUCAGGCUUCUCACCAUCAUCAGCAUAGUCUGCAAGGCCACACAGCACACAGGCCAAAGCACUGCAGCCCCAGCAGGUGUAUACACACUGCCCACACAGGGCCCGCUCACACUGGCUGCAGACCGCCUUCCCAUCCACAGAUCUUAUGCAUGACGAACAAGCGAUGGGCGCUGUCCUGGGAAGGCCACCUUCUGAGGCCUGAGCUUGGCACCGUGUCAGUCGGCUAUCAGAUCCAAUCAACAUCUGUCCUCUCGCAGUUUGAGGGGCUCCCACCACACCAGACUUCAGUGACUCCCGCAGGUGGUUCACGGAACAAAUCUUCGCUCGAUAUGUGAUCUCUAUAGGCCCGAACCCCUUGGAAAAGGAGCUGCUUGGUUCUUUCGAAGACCUCGUGUGAGUAGCGCUCGGCGAACACACCGUGGCUCAGCAUUUUCAGGCCCACGUGGCCUUUGAGUUGGAGCGGGGCUGCGUCUGCAAACGGGCAGCUCCACUUGGGCAUGGCAGCGGGUACCAGACACAGCCCUCAGCAGCGCGCAGCGCGUAGAGCACACGUCACGGCGCCCUCGGACCGCGGCGGAGCGGUUUGUUGCUAUUUUUAAUCGUGUGUAUUUGUAUGUCUCUGUGUGUGGCCACACACACGUGGGGGCAGGUGACCCAGAAGUCAAGAAGACGACACUGGAUCCCUCGGAGCUGGAGCUUCAGGACAUUAUAAGUCGCUGGACAGGGGUCCUAGAACCAAACGGAUCUUCUGCGAGAGCGUACUCUUAACUACUGCAUCAUCUCUCAAUCACCUAUAAAUGAUAUUUUUCUGGAAAAUAAACAUAAAAAUUAAGUA
ensembl:lincRNA Gm42754 predicted gene 42754